rnacentral:rRNA from 1 species
CCUACGGGAGGCAGCAGUAGGGAAUCUUCCACAAUGGGCGAAAGCCUGAUGGAGCAACGCCGCGUGGGUGAUGAAGGCCUUCGGGUUGUAAAACUCUGUCAUUCGGGACGAACCGGAGUCUGAGGAAAUGCAGACUCUCUGACGGUACCGGAGGAGGAAGCCCCGGCUAACUACGUGCCAGCAGCCGCGGUAAUACGUAGAGGGCAAGCGUUGUCCGGAUUCACUGGGCGUAAAGCGCGCGCAGGCGGUGAUGUAAGUCUGAGGUGAAAACCCGAAGCUCAACUUCGGGACUGCCUUGGAUACUGCGUCACUUGAGGAUAGGAGGGGCAAGGGGAAUUCCACGUGUAGCGGUGAAAUGCGUAGAGAUGUGGAGGAACACCUGUGGCGAAGGCGCCUUGCUGGCCUAUUUCUGACGCUGAGGCGCGAAAGCGUGGGGAGCAAACAGGAUUAGAUACCCUGGUAGUCCACGCUGUAAACGAUGAGUGCUAGGUGUAGGUGGGCUCAUACCCAUCUGUGCCGAAGCUAACGCAUUAAGCACUCCGCCUGGGGAGUACGGUCGCAAGACUGAAACUUAAAUAGAAUUGACGG